rnacentral:tRNA from 1 species
GGCUUUAUAGUUUAAUUAAAAUUUUAAAUUGCAAAUUUAAAGAUACAUUUAGGUGUUAGGGCUU